CCGUGGAUUAGCUUCAAUUGUAGCUAUUGCCCUCGGCUGACCCUUCAUAGAUGGAUUGGCAUGGUCCAAAACAAUGGCUUUUCGUGAUUUAAGCUUCUUCUCAGCUUCUUCUGUCCGCAUUUUAACAUGGUUUGUAAAUGAUUCAUCCAGAACACGUUGCACAUUUAAUUUUCGCCAAGCACCACCUGACUCGACAAGCAAACCAUUUCC
rnacentral:misc_RNA from 1 species